rnacentral:rRNA from 1 species
GACGAACGCUGGCGGCGUGCUUAACACAUGCAAGUCGAACGCUGAAGCACCAGCUUGCUGGUGUGGAUGAGUGGCGAACGGGUGAGUAAUACGUGAGUAACCUGCCCUUGACUCUGGGAUAAGCCCGGGAAACUGGGUCUAAUACUGGAUGCUACAUGUCACCGCAUGGUGGUGUGUGGAAAGGGUUUACUGGUCUUGGAUGGGCUCACGGCCUAUCAGCUUGUUGGUGAGGUAAUGGCUCACCAAGGCGACGACGGGUAGCCGGCCUGAGAGGGUGACCGGCCACACUGGGACUGAGACACGGCCCAGACUCCUACGGGAGGCAGCAGUGGGGAAUAUUGCACAAUGGGCGAAAGCCUGAUGCAGCGACGCCGCGUGAGGGAUGACGGCCUUCGGGUUGAAAAACUCUUUCAGCAGGGAAGAAGCCACAAGUGACGGUACCUGCAGAAGAAGCGCCGGCUAACUACGUG